rnacentral:rRNA from 1 species
AACACGAUUCCCUAGUAACUGCGAGUGAAGCGGGAAAAGCUCAAAUUUAAAAUCUGGUGGCCUUUGGUCAUCCGAGUUGUAAUUUAGAGAAGCGUCUUCCGCGCUGAACCGUGCACAAGUCUCCUGGAAUGGAGCGUCAUAGAGGGUGAGAAUCCCGUCUUUGGCACGGAACAUCAGGGCUUCUGUGAUGCGCUCUCGACGAGUCGAGUUGUUUGGGAAUGCAGCUCAAAAUGGGUGGUGAACUCCAUCUAAAGCUAAAUAUUGGCGAGAGACCGAUAGCGAACAAGUACCGUGAGGGAAAGAUGAAAAGCACUUUGGAAAGAGAGUGAAACAGUACGUGAAAUUGUUGAAAGGGAAACGCUUGAAGUCAGUCGCGUCGACCGAGACUCAGCCUUGCCUUGGCUUGGUGUACUUCUCGGCUUGACGGGUCAGCAUCAAUUUUGAUCCUCGGAUAAUGGCGAGGGAAAGGUAGCACCUUUUUAGGUGUGUUAUAGUCCUUUGUCGCAUACGGGGGCUGGGAUUGAGGAACUCAGCACGCACCUUUAGGUGUCGGGACCGCAAGGCCCACUAUACGUGCUUAAGAUGCUGGCGUAGUGUCUUUAAACGACCCGUCGUGAAACACAGACCAGGGACUCUAACAUACCCGCGAGUGUUCGGGUGGAAAACCCGUGCGCGUAGUGAAAGUGAAAGUUGACACCUCUGUCGUGGAGGACACCGACGCCCAGACCAGACCUUCUGUGACGGCUCUGCUAUAGAGCGUGUAUGUUGACACCCGAAAUAUGGUGAUCUAUGCCUGAAUAGGGUGAAGCCAGAAGAAACUCUGGUGGACGCUCAUAGCGAUUCAGACGUGCAUAUCGAUCGUCAAAUUUGGAUAUAGGCGCGAAAGACUAAUCAAACCAUCUAAUAUCUGGUUCCUGCAGAUUUCCCCCUCAAG